rnacentral:misc_RNA from 1 species
UGGAACACGAUCUAUUGCUGCCACAGCACCAGCCUCCUUGUUAUUAAUCACAGCUUCAUAUGCCGCAGAUUUAGGGAACUCAUUGGCCAAAUUGGCUAUCUUCCUUGACACCAAUGCACUCCCCACAAAUAUGGGCAUAUCCAAGGGACCUUGACAAUUGAAUACAGCUGUUACCGAGCCAGCCAACGGAAACAAUAAGGGCUUCAUCUUGAAUGUUUUCAUUAAGGCAUUCACUUCAACAGAUGGAACCUGACACAUAAGAUGGA